rnacentral:sRNA from 1 species
UUCGACUGAUCUACCAAUAAAGCGCUCGA